rnacentral:rRNA from 1 species
GACAGAGGGUGCAAACGUUGUUCGGAAUUACUGGGCGUAAAGCGCGUGUAGGCGGCUGCGUGUGUCGGGCGUGAAAUCCCAUGGCUCAACCAUGGAAGUGCACCCGAAACUGCGUAGCUAGAGUCCUGGAGAGGAAGGUGGAAUGCUUGGUGUAGAGGUGAAAUUCGUAGAUAUCAAGCGGAACACCGGUGGCGAAGGCGGCUCUCUGGGCCUUACCUGACGCUGAGGAGCGAAAGCUGGGGGAGCGAAUAGG